UAUUUGUUUACAUGUUCAUAGCCCAUGUCUUUUUAUGGAAAGCAGGGUUUUGAUGAUUUUUGGGCACAUUUCCUAUGGAAAUCAAUUGGAAUCAUAAGAGUAAAGGCAAUUUAACAAAGUAUUGUCCACAUUUGCCCUACAUUAUCAUUAUUCCAGUGUUUUAAAUAGUUUUUACUGCUACUUUUAUUAUACAAUUGAGGUUUUGUACUGUUUAAUAUUGUCUGCAAAAUGGUCAAUCUUCUACCAAACUUGGAGUUCUUGUACAUGGUGUACAGGUUAAAGGUCAGGUACAAAUAGCACACACAAACUCCAAGGGUUUUUCCACUUUAAUGCAUAAAUCGUACACAAAUAGAAGUAUUGGUCGAGCACUGGGCUGGUCGAGCACAGGUACUGUGACUCUAUAUAAAAUAUAAGAAUGCAGAUUAUGUGCUAGCCAGUUUUAACCACAUCCGACUAUUGAUGGGUAAUAGGUGGGACUAUGACUUUAUGAUAGUAAAAUUCCAAGUAAAGAUCCUACCAUGGGAAAUACAUAUCCUGGCCAUUUUGACCCCACAACCCAAAAAGCCAUGUAAUUGCAUUGAUAUGUCAGUGUAGGGACAGAUGAAAGGUUAAGUCUCAUUUCCUCUGCCAUUCCCUUGCCAGAGUUAGAUUGUAUACACAUACAUUCACAGUGCCUUAACUUCCCGUACGAAAAAGAUAGCAGGAUUCCGCCUAAUAUUAGCAGGAAAACGCUUAAAAUUUCCGUGUAUAUAAGAUUUUCCUGCUAAUUUAAGACGGACACGGAAUUUUGUAAAAAAUCCUGCUAAGCAAUUUCAUAUUCCGCCUAAGGCUUAGGCGGAAAAUAUGGGAUGAGCAAUAAUUUAGACGGGUUUUAGGACUUAGAAUUUUGUCAGUUAUUUGUUAACAGGAAUUAUGUACUUAGACUUUUUUGUUAACCAGAAAUUGAACUUAGAAAAUUUUACUAGACAGAUUUCUGAAUUUGGAGAAAUUUCUGCAGAUGACAGGUAAAUGAUAAAUCGAAUAUUAAGUGAUCAACAAUUAUUUUGCUGCUUUUAUUCAUUGUUAAUUUUCAAAACUAAAAUAUUGUUUGUACAAACAUAAACAUACAUAAUCAUUAAUUGAUAAAAAAAACUCCACAACAAAACUAAAACUUAGAACAUAUAUAAUGAUGUUGUGAUGACUUUUGCAUAGAAUAUAUUUCACUCUGUUAAAUUUGGGUAUGAACUAAACUCAUAUAUUAAGCUCUUUAAUGUAAUAUAAUUAAAUGAGUAAUAUCCCUGAAAAUUUCUUAUCACCAGGAUAAAUAAAUAAAUACUGCCUCUAGUAACCACUCUACUAUGAUUUAACACCAUAGACCUGAUAACACACAGGUCAGAUCGUAAAUUCUGCUACAGUCCAGACUGUUCCAUGUGAUUUAUUUGGGGGGAAGCAACAGUUACUUUGUACAUUUUAUAUGAUGAGUCUGUAAAGAAGGACUUUGCAAAGUUUUUUUUAAAGAUAUUUAUUAUGAAUUUUGGAUUCUUUUUCCAUUUAUUUUCUGGUAUUUUUAUAUAAUUGUGAAAAUAAAACGAUGGGUUGGAUUAUCCCUGUUUACCAUCAUAUCAUGGACUUGUCCAUAAUUUGAAAUCUAGGAAAUAUGGGUCAGCAGAAGCUGAGACAGUGGAAAGAAUUUAGCAAAUAACAAAGGAUUUUAUUGAUAGUUAAAAAUUGUGGUGAUAAUAUAUAAGCAAUUUUUGAGAUAAUAUUUUGUUUAAAGUGUAUAAGGAUUGAAUAUUUUUGAAUUUUUCAAAGAAAAAAAAAUAAGACUUAACCUUGUGAAUGAAAAUGACAAUAAUCUGGAUAUGCUCAGUUGUAAAUGAAUUUUGAAUGCUACAUUAUGACCUUGGAUAAGAAGAUGAAUACCAAUAUCAUAAAAAUUCAGGAUAUGUCUCAAGCUGGUGAAAAAAGAAUGGGAGAGGAGGAGUCAAGGACAAGGAUAUUAACAAUGCCAUAACUUUAAGCAGAUCAGUUAUGCUUGGAAUAAAAAUGAAAACAACUGGCUGAACAAAAAACAUUUACAGUGAAAUAAAAUGAAAUAAUUUGCCAUGGAUUAAAACAAUACAAUAGCAGUGCAAUAAAAAAUAUAACUCGUG